GAUGAACGCUGGCGGCGUGCCUAAUACAUGCAAGUCGAGCGAACGGACGAGAAGCUUGCUUCUCUGAUGUUAGCGGCGGACGGGUGAGUAACACGUGGAUAAUCUACCUAUAAGACUGGGAUAACUUCGGGAAACCGGAGCUAAUACCGGAUGAUAUUUUGAACCGCAUGGUUCAAAAGUGAAAGACGGUCUUGCUGUCACUUAUAGAUGGAUCCGCGCUGCAUUAGCUAGUUGGUAAGGUAACGGCUUACCAAGGCAACGAUGCAUAGCCGACCUGAGAGGGUGAUCGGCCACACUGGAACUGAGACACGGUCCAGACUCCUACGGGAGGCAGCAGUAGGGAAUCUUCCGCAAUGGGCGAAAGCCUGACGGAGCAACGCCGCGUGAGUGAUGAAGGUCUUCGGAUCGUAAAACUCUGUUAUUAGGGAAGAACAUAUGUGUAAGUAACUGUGCACAUCUUGACGGUACCUAAUCAGAAAGCCACGGCUAACUACGUG
rnacentral:rRNA from 1 species